rnacentral:miRNA from 1 species
CCGCUGAGUGAGGAGGAGAGAGAGACAGAGAGCCUGCUUGCUAAAUAACAGCAAAGAUUUUUCAAGCAGGCCCUCUGUCUCUCUCUCCUCCCCACUCGCUAAAU